AUGCCUAGAUAUCCAAGUAACUGUCUUUUAGUGUAUUCUAGGACAAAAAAAAAAUCAUUACCAGUAUUAAAAAUGCUUAAUGAUAUUGUGUGUCUCGUCAGCAGAACUCAGACCUCUGAAAACAGGGAACUAAUUCCUCACGCGGUCUUCAUGUCCGCUACGCAUCGGCAUGCCGCCUGGAUGUGCCCAGCGCUGUACGUGUUCUUCUCACGUUGUUCGUCCCCUGUGCCCAAGGCAGAAGCCAACCUGACUACUGCCACGCAGCGCAGCACUUUUUAAAGCUCGUUCGCAGGAUGAGCACAGAAAUGAAAACAAUCCAGAGGACGUGGCCUCAGAGGUGACCGCGCAGCGGCUGAAGCUAUUGCUAACUACGUAUACGCUCUUAACCUGCCCCGGGUGUGGGGUAACGACUGGCAUAAAACGUGCUGGGAUUUGUAGCUGGAGUAAUCUGAGUACAAACACAUAAUGUUACUGUGCCUCAACUAAUAAGCCAGAAAGUUUUAAGCUGCUGGAUCCUUGUUGUCAUGUGCUUGUACUUCAUGCUAAGUCUGUGGAUUUUAGAGUGCUCAGAAAUGCCAACCUUUAAGUGCAAACAUGCUUUUGAUCUUUACAGUGCAACCGGCACUCUACUCCAGUAUUUGUUACGCUCAGCAUACUUAGCCAUUGAACAGGCUUAUUAUUUACUUAAGGCCCUUUGCCUUGCAUUCAGCACGUAAAAGCUGUAGCUCCAGAGAAGGGUUUUGUUUUGUGUUGGCUGACACAUCCCAGAGUCCACUGCUAUUCUGGCGGCUCUCCUGCCCGAAGUCCUGUAGGGGCUUUGGUCUCAGCACCAGGAGAUACAGACUCUUUCUUGGCAGAACUGUUCUUUUUUGGCUGUCCUUUGUUUGAAGGGGUGUGUGUGUGCGUGUGUGUGUUGGGGGACCAGCUGAGCUGCAGAUUGAGGUCCGUCUCACAGAGGUUAGCGUAGAGCAGCAGAACUGGCAAUAUCUAUCUAGGGAGAAACAUAAAUGAGAUUUAUCCCGUAUAAUUACGGGAGGGGGGGAAAA
rnacentral:lncRNA from 1 species